UUUUUUUCCUCAUGUAUAAUAAAAGUAGAAAAUAUUUGUCAGGAAAAACACCAUACAUAUACAACAGUCAACGAUUAUUACUUGAAAAUGGAGUACCCAAGUGGAGUUCUAGCCUUUAUAAAUAAAAUAACAGGUUUAAGAAGUACACCUCAGGAACAACAGACAGUAGUGGUAAAUGCUGUGUCAAGCCACUGAGACUUUGUAACAUAUCAGUGAUGUCGUCCAUUGAAAGGGAUGUCUCCGAAUUGUUGUCAUCAACAAACUGGGUCCUCUCCACCAGGUCGUUACUGUUCGCGCCGCUGACAAUCUGCGUCUUCAUCACUCGCCCAUUUUCCUUACUGUUGUUUCCGUUUGACUCUGGUUUCACAAACUGGGUCCUCUCCACUAGGUCGUUACCGGAACCCUGAAUAACCGUUGUCUUCGGCACCCUAUUGUCACUGAAGCUGUUGUCUCGGUUCAUCACUUCAGUUCUCUGUAUAAGAUCCUUCCCAUCGUUACUCUCCGCAAGAGUUGUUCUCAUUGCUGCUCCAUUCUGGC
rnacentral:lncRNA from 1 species